UUUAUACUCCCUCCGUCCCAAAUUAACUGUCAUGGAUUUGCAUAUGAAUCUAUGCAAAUCCAUGACAGUUAAUAUAUGCAAAUCCAUGACAGUUAAUUUGGGGCGGAGGGAGUAACAU
rfam:Brachypodium distachyon strain Bd21 chromosome 5, whole genome shotgun sequence.